AUGGCCGAUGAUUCCGAAUUCGCCGGAAAAGUUCCUCCGAAUGCUGGUUCUCAAGGGUUCAACCCAGGCUUAAUAGUUCUACUUGUUGUUGGAGGGUUGCUAUUGACAUUCCUGGUUGGAAACAUUGUGCUCUACACUUAUGCACAGAAGAUCAUUCCUCCUAGAAAAAAGAAGCCUGUUUCAAGGAAGAAGAUGAAAAAGGAGAGACUGAGGCAAGGAGUCUCUGCACCUGGAGAGUAG